UACGAAGGGGGCUAGCGUUGCUCGGAAUUACUGGGCGUAAAGCGCACGUAGGCGGCUUGUUAAGUCGGAGGUGAAAUCCUGGAGCUCAACUCCAGAACUGCCUUCGAAACUGGCGAGCUUGAGUCCGGGAGAGGUGAGUGGAACUGCGAGUGUAGAGGUGAAAUUCGUAGAUAUUCGCAAGAACACCAGUGGCGAAGGCGGCUCACUGGCCCGGUACUGACGCUGAGGUGCGAAAGCCAGGGUAGCAAACGGG
rnacentral:rRNA from 1 species